rnacentral:lncRNA from 1 species
CAUAAAAAAGUUCUUGUUGUAACAAUCAAUAUAUCCUAAAAGUUGCAAAUAAAAAUAACAAAGAAAACAGCUUUUUUUUCAAAUUAUAACUUUAAACAAGAAAUUCCUAUUGAACAAUUAUUGUCAGCUGACUGGUCCUGAUUCACACUGUAGUUGUUACAUAUCACAGGUCUCAGUAUUCCCCCACAUGUCGCUCAUGUACAACAAAUAAUAUGUCUUUAAUGUUUGAAAUCUCCAUGAUACUUCAUUGGUUCAACUUUCGAUAUGUAAACUACACUACAACUAAUGAUUCACUAACUGGCAUACUUAUUACACCUGUUAUAAUGGGUAUACUCUUUCCUUCUUUUAAAACAAACACCU